rnacentral:rRNA from 1 species
AUACGUAGGUGGCAAGCGUUGUCCGGAAUUAUUGGGCGUAAAGCGCAUGUAGGCGGUUUGGUAAGUCGGUCGUGAAAAUGCGGUGCUUAACGCCGUAUGGGGAUCGAAACUGCUGAACUUGAGGGCAGGAGAGGAAAGGGGGACUCCCAGGGUAGGCGUGAAAUGCGUAGAUAUUGGGAAGAACACCGGUGGCGAAGGCGCCUUUCUGGACUGUGUCUGACGCUCAGAUGCGAAAGCCAGGGUAGCGAACGGGAUUAGAUACCCCGGUAGUCCUGGCCGUAAACGAUGGGUACUAGGUGUGGGAGGUAUCGACUCCUUCCGUGCCGGAGUUAACGCAAUAAGUACCCCGCCUGGGGAGUACGGCCGCAAGGCUUAAACUCAAAUGAAUUGACGGGG